UGGGGAAUUUUGGACAAUGGGCGAAAGCCUGAUCCAGCAAUGCCGCGUGUGUGAAGAAGGCCUUCGGGUUGUAAAGCACUUUUGUCCGGAAAGAAAUCCUUGGCUCUAAUACAGUCGGGGGAUGACGGUACCGGAAGAAUAAGCACCGGCUAACUACGUGCCAGCAGCCGCGGUAAUACGUAGGGUGCAAGCGUUAAUCGGAAUUACUGGGCGUAAAGCGUGCGCAGGCGGUUUGCUAAGACCGAUGUGAAAUCCCCGGGCUCAACCUGGGAACUGCAUUGGUGACUGGCAGGCUAGAGUAUGGCAGAGGGGGGUAGAAUUCCACGUGUAGCAGUGAAAUGCGUAGAGAUGUGGAGGAAUACCGAUGGCGAAGGCAGCCCCCUGGGCCAAUACUGACGCUCAUGCACGAAAGCGUGGGGAGCAAAACAGGAUUAGAUACCCUGGUAGUCCACGCCCUAAAACGAUGUCAACUAGUUGUUGGGGAUUCAUUUCCUUAGUAACGUAGCUAACGCGUGAAGUUGACCGCCUGGGGAGUACGGUCGCAAGAUUAAAACUCAAAUGAAUUGACGGGGUCAUAGCUGUUUCC
rnacentral:rRNA from 1 species